AGUUACGCAGAGGAAAAAAUGUGACAACAAAAUAAGCCGACAGCAGUAUGCACAAGUUUAUGAUCAGAGCAACUUAGAUUCUCUGUGUUGGGAAACAGUAUUUGGUUUUAGGAACCAAACCGUCUACAGCCCUUAAAUUGCAAUCAUUAUGUUCCUGUAUCACAUGAAGGAAAUGCUUUACAAAUUCAAUCGGGAUGAUGUGGCCAGGAUAGUGACUAGUGGUUGUCGCGCUUUCCGUCUUAUUGGAUUUUAUCACAGAUAAAAUCUGUGAUUUUAUGUUAGAUGAGACAUUGUUAGGAAAACGAAUUUACGAAUUAUCGGUUUCUACGCUAUCAGCUCCAUGCUAGGUCUCACUAUUCUGUUGUUGUUCAUCAAUGGUUGAGCUGCGGCAGCAUUUACGCUUAAUUAAAAGGAAACUGUAGGGCGCUACCUACAAAAGAUGAUGGAUUCGGCUACAAAGAUUAUGACCCUUGCGCAGCUUUAUAUUGUGAUCUUUGUGGACAGGAAAAAUGUUCACGUCACAAAGGCAAUGCAUUAUUCACGAACCGUGUAAAGAGAUUAGAAGACGCGGUUGACAAAUUUUUCACUCACAUUUUGGACAGAUUCAUAUGCAGAUAGCUCCUGAUGAUGAGUAUAUUAUCAACAUUAAAAGCAAUCUUAGGGAUGUUCUGUGUCGGUUGUUGAUCAGAGCAUCAUAAAUAACGAAUUGUACUAGCCUGGGGUACGAGUUUUUCAGAUCUCCCGUGAUGAUACGAGAAUGCGCGGACGCCAGCGAAAAGUUAGAGGCCGUGAUUGGAAAAUUUUUUAGCAAGGCAUGAAUUAAUCUCGAACCCGCGGUAUCUCGACUUUAUUUUCCCACUGUCAAUCUGCCUUUCGAAGAACUCCGAUUGAAAAGUUCUAGUGAAGUUACCACCUUAAAGCUUUCUACGGACUCCGCCGUGCUUUGCGCGUUCUUGUUCAGUUUCAAUAAACCAAAUUCAGCCCGAUAAAAGUACCGAAUUUCUCGUAACUAAUUCGAACAGGCUAUAUCAUUGCUAAUACUUGGCAUGAAGGAAAAUUUGUACUAGCCCAGAUGAAAUGAGAAAGGUAAUGUCUACAUAAUGAACCAAUGAGGUUGUGUUAAAGAUCUGGAAGAUUAGCUCAAUUCGCAUUACAAGUAGACUGGAGUUAUUUCGACGAGUAAUUGAAGAUAAGUAUUAUAGGAGACAGAAACGGAGAGUAUGAACAGUAGCGACCGGGCGGCCAGUCACUUACCGAAGAAAGAGUCACGUUUUGGAAUACCAUAAAGUAGCUGAUUACUCAUCAAUAUGCAAUAUUUUGGCAAUUCAAUUGGCUAUUUCGUAUACUAUCGCUCGGUGCCUAGCUCUUGGAGCUGUGAUUCCAUUGAAAUUU